CGACGCUGGCGGCGUGCCUAAUACAUGCAAGUCGAGCGGACCAACUUAAGAGCUUGCUCUUAUGAGGUUAGCGGCGGACGGGUGAGUAACACGUGGGCAACUCGCCCUGUAGACUGGGAUAACAUCGAAGAAAUCGGUGCUAAUACCGGAUAAUUGUUGGAACUGCAUAGUUCUAACUUGAAAGAUGGCUCCGGCUAUCACUAUAGGAUGGGCCCGCGGCGCAUUAGCUAGUUGGUAAGGUAAUGGCUUACCAAGGCGACGAUGCGUAGCCGACCUGAGAGGGUGAUCGGCCACACUGGGACUGAGACACGGCCCAGACUCCUACGGGAGGCAGCAGUAGGGAAUCUUCCGCAAUGGACGAAAGUCUGACGGAGCAACGCCGCGUGAGUGAUGAAGGUUUUCGGAUCGUAAAGCUCUGUUGUUAGGGAAGAACAAGUGCCGUUCGAAUAGGGCGGCACCUUGACGGUACCUAACCAGAAAGCCACGGCUAACUACGUG
rnacentral:rRNA from 1 species